rnacentral:misc_RNA from 1 species
GAUGAAGAACGUAGCGAAAUGCGAUAAGUAAUGUGAAUUGCAGAAUUCAGUGAAUCAUCGAAUCUUUGAACGCACAUUGCGCCCGCUAGUAUUCUGGCGGGCAUGCCUGUCCGAGCGUCAUUUCAACCCUCGAACCCCUCCGGGGGGUCGGCGUUGGGGAUCGGCCCUUUCACCGGGUGCCGGCCCCUAAAUACAGUGGCGGUCUCGCCGCAGCCUCUCAUGCGCAGUAGUUUGCACACUCGCACCGGGAGCGCGGCGCGUCCACGUCCGUAAAACACCCCAAACUUCUGAAAUGUUGACCUCGGAUCAGGUAGGAAUACCCGCUGAACUUAAGCAUAUCAAUAAGCGGAGGA